CAGACCUCUAAUCGGAAAAGACUACCCGCUGAGUUUAAGCAUAUCANNAAGGGGAG
rnacentral:rRNA from 1 species